rfam:Schistosoma margrebowiei strain Zambia genome assembly, scaffold: SMRZ_scaffold0000194
AUCCAGCUGACGAGUCCCAAAUAGGACAAAACGCACAUCUUGGAU